UAUAGCGUCACGUUUGUGCAACAGGAAGCCCAAUAGAUGUACGGACAUCGUUACUUUUUUUAGAUUUAUCUGACUUAUAAGUUAGUUCAUGUACAAAAAACUUCGAUAAGUAUACUUUAAGUAGGUUCUACUCAUCAUUCCAAAUCCAGCGUUUGUGCAACAGGAAGCCCAAAUUUUAUAGAUGAACGGACAUCGUUACUUUUUUGGAGAUUUCUCUGACUAGUAAGUUCAUGUAAAAAAAUCUUCGAUAAGUAUACUUUAAGUAGGUUCUUUUCUUUAAACAUUGCAUUAAAAAUUGUAGAAUUAGCCAGACACGAAUUUACUCUCCAUUUCCAGUGUAUGGCGUUUCUCUAUCUGGUUCUGUUGAUUGCAUGACCUUUUAGGACAUAUUUAUUCAAAUCUCACCGAACUUUGCAUAUUUUAAAUAAACUAGACAGUCUUAGAGCGUGAAGUCGGGCUAGCUACUUUUUUAAAAUUGUGAAAAACAGUAUAUUACUCCUGGCUCGAUAUUUGUAGUGUUUCGACGUCGUUGCCCCAAACCGUAAAAAAAAAAAAAAAAAAAAAAAAAAAAAAAAAAAAAAAAAAAAA